GAGCGGAACGAUCCUAGCUUGCUAGGAGGCGUCGAGCGGCGGACGGGUGAGUAAUGCAUAGGAAUCUACCCAGUCGUGGGGGAUAACCUGAGGAAACUCAGGCUAAUACCGCAUACGUCCUACGGGAGAAAGCGGGGGCUCUUCGGACCUCGCGCGAUUGGAUGAGCCUAUGUCGGAUUAGCUGGUUGGUGAGGUAACGGCUCACCAAGGCGACGAUCCGUAGCUGGUCUGAGAGGAUGAUCAGCCACACCGGGACUGAGACACGGCCCGGACUCCUACGGGAGGCAGCAGUGGGGAAUAUUGGACAAUGGGCGCAAGCCUGAUCCAGCCAUGCCGCGUGUGUGAAGAAGGCUUUCGGGUUGUAAAGCACUUUCAGCGAGGAAGAAAGCGUGCCGGCCAAUACCCGGUACGGACGACAUCACUCGCAGAAGAAGCACCGGCUAACUCCGUGCCAGCAGCCGCGGUAAUACGGAGGGUGCAAGCGUUAAUCGGAAUUACUGGGCGUAAAGCGCGCGUAGGCGGCGUGUCACGCCGGGUGUGAAAGCCCCGGGCUCAACCUGGGAACGGCAUCCGGAACGGGCAGGCUAGAGUGCAGGAGAGGAAGGUAGAAUUCCCGGUGUAGCGGUGAAAUGCGUAGAGAUCGGGAGGAAUACCAGUGGCGAAGGCGGCCUUCUGGACUGACACUGACGCUGAGGUGCGAAAGCGUGGGUAGCAAACAGGAUUAGAUACCCUGGUAGUCCACGCCGUAAACGAUGUCGACUAGCCGUUGGGUCCCUUGAGGACUUAGUGGCGCAGUUAAC
rnacentral:rRNA from 1 species